rnacentral:rRNA from 1 species
GACGAACGCUGGCGGCGUGCCUAAUACAUGCAAGUCGAGCGGAGAGGCUUGGUACUUGUGCCAACUGCGUGAGCAGCGGACGGGUGAGUAACGCGUGGAGAAUCUGCCUUUGAGCGGGGGACAACAUUGGGAAACGAGUGCUAAUACCGCAUAAAAUCUUGAAACACAGGGUUUAAGUGUGAAAGAUGCCAUUGCAGCACUCAAUGAUGGUUUCGCGGCGUAUUAGCUAGGUGGUGAGGUUAAGGGGCACCAACGGGAUGAUACAGAGCCGCACUGAGAGGGUGGUCGGCCGAACUGGGACUGAGACACGGCCCAAACGGCCACGGGAAGGAGCAGGAGGGAAACUUCGGGCAUGGACGGAAGUCUUACCGAGCAACGCCGAGGGAGUGAAGAAGGAUGUCGGGUCCGAAAACUCGGUUUGUAGGGUAGAAACAGAUUUAGAGUGGAAAGCUCAGCAAGUGACGGUAACGAGUCAGAAAGCGACGGCUAACUACGUG